AGUGAAAACUUUUAUCAACAAACUCUUGUUCAAACUAAUGAAACAAAGAAAGAUUAUUAUAACGAUAAACGAUGAAUCUCACUAAAACGACGGCGUUCCAAGUCGAAAGCAGAGGGAAUGUUGAAAGUUAAACUUGAUUUUGAAUAAGUUUAAUUAUUGGAUCAAUUAUCCAAUAAUUAAUUAUGGCCAAAUCCAAGUUCUAGAGUUUUCUCUAGAAAUAUCAUCAUUUCCACCUCCUUAAAAGAUUCUAGAAAUUUUCUAGAAUCAUCUUCCACCUCCUUAAACAUAAAAAUCUAGAUACUCUAAUAGAAUAAUCUAGAUAAUUUGAAUAAUGUAAUCUAAAUCUUAUGUAAGAACUCUCUAGACUUAGGAUUAAAAUAUUUUAGAUAUUUUGUAGUUUGGAGGCUAUAAAUACCUCCUCCCCCUCUCAAAUGUUGCAAUGUUGUGAAGUUAUCUUCAAGUUUAAAGCAAAGUAAUAAAAGUUAUAUUUCCUAAAAAACUCUCUCAAAACACUUAAACACUUUCUCCAUUACCUCUAAAAGAAUUUUACUCUAACAGGGAAGAUUCCGGCGAACACAAACUCAUCCGACGACGAAGAACCGAAGAUAAGCGGAGAAGCAGAGCGAAAUCGC
rnacentral:sRNA from 1 species